GUAGGUGGCAAGCGUUGUCCGGAAUUAUUGGGCGUAAAGCGCGCGCAGGCGGCUCUUUAAGUCUGAUGUGAAAGCCCACGGCUCAACCGUGGAGGGUCAUUGGAAACUGGAGAACUUGAGUACAGAAGAGGAAAGCGGAAUUCCUCGUGUAGCGGUGAAAUGCGUAGAGAUGUGGAGGAACACCAGUGGCGAAGGCGGCUUUCUGGUCUGUAACUGACGCUGAGGCGCGAAGGCGUGGGGGAGCAAACAGGAUUAGAUACCCUGGUAGUCCACGCCGUAAACGAUGAGUGCUAAGUGUUAGGGGGUUUCCGCCCCUUAGUGCUGCAGCUAACGCAUUAAGCACUCCGCCUGGGAGUACGGCCGCAAGGCUG
rnacentral:rRNA from 1 species